rnacentral:rRNA from 1 species
GACGAACGCUGGCGGCGUGCUUAACACAUGCAAGUCGAACGGAAAGGCCCUGCUUUUGUGGGGUGCUCGAGUGGCGAACGGGUGAGUAACACGUGAGUAACCUGCCCUUGACUUUGGGAUAACUUCAGGAAACUGGGGCUAAUACCGGAUAGGAGCUCCUGCUGCAUGGUGGGGGUUGGAAAGUUUCGGCGGUUGGGGAUGGACUCGCGGCUUAUCAGCUUGUUGGUGGGGUAGUGGCUUACCAAGGCUUUGACGGGUAGCCGGCCUGAGAGGGUGACCGGGCACAUGGGGAAGGGGAAACCGCCCAGACCCCUUCGGGGGGAAGGGGGGGGGGAUUUUGGAAAAAGGGCGGAAGGCGGAAGCAGGAACCGCGGGGGGGGAAAGGCGGCCUUGGGGGUGGAAACCGGUUUCCCCUGUAACGAAGCGUGAGGGAGGGUAAUGGGUAAAGAACCACCGGGAAAUUACGG